AUACCUACGUGGCAGGGGCGAGAGAAUUAUCAAGAAGGUGGUUCACACAGGGUGAGGGUAAGCCAUUGCACUCCGGUUGUGCUGACCCCUGCGAAUUCCCCAAAUGUGGGAAUCUCAACUGCAUAAUUUUGAAUAGUGGUGGACUGUGUUCGCACUCUCCCCUG